rnacentral:rRNA from 1 species
AUGUGGAUUCACUUCGCCGCUGCAGCACUUUGUCGCCGCUGCAUCACCGCGUCCCACCAACACCAUCGAAAGAACGAGACAAUACCACCCCACCGCAGCACCGCGUCCCACCAACACGAUUUCCUCCGUGAUUUUCUUCUUCAAGAAAUCGUUUCAAUUGCCAUGGCUUCCCGUAGGCACUAUGAUUGUUGCUUUUUUCUCUCUCCCUAUGUUUUGCUCGUUCUAGUCUUGUCGAUGAUGAGUAAUUUUCUUGUUCUGCAUGAUGCUAACCCUGGGCUUGUCGGACGGACCUCGGUCCGCUGUGAUGAAGGAAAGCCCCAAUGCUGUGCUAGAUCCACACCCCCGUUCAGUGUUGCAGGCCGCGACACUACGUGUGGAUAA